rnacentral:tRNA from 1 species
GCCAGGGUGACAGAGUGGUCUAUUGUGUCUGCCUGCAGAGCGGAUUUUCCUGGGUUCGAAUCCCAGCCCUGGCU